UAUCAUGUUAGUUUCUCUAAAGUGUGAGAAUGUUUAAGUAAUUAUUUUCUUAGAAAUGAACUUUAGAUAAAGGAAACCUAUAAAUCUAAUAUAUUAAUUUAGUGUAAGCUAUGGUUGAAAUUUUAGAACUGGCAGUGUAAAAGUAUACACUGUUAAAAAUAAAUAGUUUAUAAAAAUAUGUCAUUGUGAUAUCCUAAUAUUUCAGAAUUAUUUUAUGUGUGCUUUGAUAGUAUUUUACUUUAUGUAGAUUGAUAAUUUAUCGAUAUAAUCUCUAGACUGUGAAUUUAAGGAAAGUAACUUAGAUAUCAAUUAUAAAAUAUUUUAGUAAGCUAUGAUAAAAGUUUGGGCUUAAAAUUCUACCGAAUUUCGGACAGUAAUUUACUCAAUAGUAUAAAUUUAUAUCUCAGAAAAAUAAAAGAAAAAUAUUUUUGAGAUCACAAAAAUAUCUAGGUAAAAAUGUUAUUAAAAUUAAAUGAAAAAUUUAAAUAAAAAUUAAGAGAUAGGGAUGAACUCUUAAGAGAUAGGAGUUACACCUCAUGUAUUAACGUGGCUUAAUCUUUCUUCACAAGUGGAAAUGAAAACGUGGGCUUAAGUAGAAGAGAAAACGUGGUCUCCUAAUUGUCCAUAAUCAUCAUUGAAACUCCCCUAUAAAUAGAACCUUAAUCUUUAUCAAUCCCACACAAACCAUCACUGUCACACGAAGCUAGGAAUUUCAAGGUGUCCUAGAUGAAGGUGAUUGCUCGAGUUAUUUUGGAAAGCUUCGAGUUAGUGCAGGAUACUAAGACCUCCAGUUGAAGUUCAUUGAGGAAAGGAAAAUGGCAUUGUGAGAGACAUUAAAAUAAAGAACGUUAGUGCUGAUUGGUGGUCUAGUUUUAUUUUUGGAGUCCGAAGAGAAGAUCUCUUUGAUAUGUAUUGAUGAUGUCAUUGGACUGAAUGACAGGCAUCUGUGGUGUUUGACCAGCUCGUGAUUAUUUGUGGGUUAGAGUCUUUUGUAGGAAUUUAUCUUUUUAUCAUUUUAAAUUGAAAAAUUGUACGAUACUUAUGUGAAUUGGAAAUGUUUUAUAUUUGAAAAUCCUUUGAGCAAAAUUACUAGAUGAUUGUUUAAUAUAAGUGAUGCAUAUUAUUUAUGGGCUUACUUUAAAUUUAUAUAAAGAGAAUUUUGAAAACUUUCUUAAAUAAAAAUAAUAGUGCUUAUAUUAGAGUACAUUUCUCACUUAUUACUUUCCUUUACCAAAAAUAAAUCAGCAUGAUUUUAUUUGCUUGUAUUUAAACAUUUAAAUCUGGGUAGAGAACUGUGACGCUCUUCUUUUUAGUCUCUGAAAAAGGGGUGUUACAAUUAGUGGUAUCAGAGCUGGUCGAGUCUUUCGGGAGUCUUUGGGGAAUAGGUUCAUGAUGCUUUUGUUGUGUCAUCUAUGUUUGCUUUUGUUAUGUGAUCUUUGUUUGCUUUUGUGGUGUGAUCUUUGUUCGAACUUGUUGGAUUAAUUGUAGUUAAGAUAAAAGUGUUUUCAUUCUAAGUUUGUAUAUGGGGUAUAAGGAUGGUCUAAUCGUAAUGGAAAUUUUGUGAGUCAUUUUAGUGCAGAUGAUGACAACAUGGAUGUAUGUCGGAAUGAUUAGAACUCCUGAUGGUUAGUCAAUUUUCUUUUUCUAAGUAGAUUAAGGAACUACAUUGAAAGAUUUUGAUACUUUAAAUUAUUGAGAAUAUAGUUGGUUGACUAGUAUGGAUAAAUAGAUAAUAAUGGGAUCUAAUGAUUUUUCUAUAUGCAUAAUUAGUUCAUAGAGAAUGAGUAAUAAUAGAAAAUCAUAGAAAUAUCUUAGAAUGUUUAGGGAAACAUUAAUUUUAUAUGACUAAUAAUUAUGAUAAUGUUAUGAUAGACUUAGAGUAUAGUAAGGUCUUGCUUGUUUGAGAGUCUUAUGGAUUAAAGUUUUACUUCACUAAGAGAAUCAAUGGUCAUAUAUGUAGGUGAUUAUGUAGUUCAGGAAUAUGUAACAUUGUGUUAGCUUAUGACUAGUUGAAUAAUAUGUGAGCAUGAAAUUUAGUAGACUUUAGCGCGGAUGCCAAUUUUUAGAAAUGGUAUUACGAUAAGAAAAAAAAAAUCAUAGUAAAUCCUAAAUAAAUUUAAGUAAUAGUUUGUUAAGGUAAAAUUUUAGGGACAUGAGAUUUUGCUUUGCUAGUCUUUAUUUUUGAUGGUAUAGGAUUCCUUAUGUUUUUUUUUAGUUAUUAGGCUAACUUUCGCGUUGCUGCAUUUUUGUGGUUAGGGAAGACAAAUUGAUUGUUUUGGUUUCUAGUAUGGUGUAUUGGUUUUGCUAUGUUUUGUUUGGCAUGCUAUACUUGCACAAUUUUUGUUCUUGUUGUGUUUCCCUAUUAUAGGCAUUUAUUGUAGUUAUGUAGGAAUUAUUAUAAAUAAAAUUGUGUUGUUUCAAAGAUUUAAGAAAAUAAAUAAAUUAAGACAUCAAAUUGAAGGUAUUUGAUUGUGGUUUAUUUUAGAAAGUUUAAUUUUAGUUAUUAAGAAUAUGAUUGAAUACUUUUAGUUGGAAAAUAUAGCACACACUUGCUGCAAAUAUAGAUAGAUUAUCUUUCAAAAGAAAAAGUAUGAGUAGAUUUUAUUUUUUUUAGAAAAGAAAACGUGAGUAGAUUUAGAGUUAGUUGUAAGAACUAUAGUUGACAAAAGAAUUUCUAUUGGAUAGUAUGGUUAAGGGAAGAUAUCUAAGUAAGUAUGAAGACUUGAGCUUCAAAUUAAUAAUGAUAUAGUAAAUAAUAGAUUUUGAGGAGAGUAAAACAAUACAAGUGGAGGUUUUAAUAUUGAAAUGGUGUUGUGGUUUAAGUUGAGUGGUUCACUUUGGAAUAGUGGAGAAUAUAUAGUAGGUAUAUAUUAAUCCUAUGAACUUCUUAGAAGAAGAAUCUUUAUUUUAGUUUUGGAUGAAACUUUAGUUUCUACCAAGAUAGAAUUAUAGUAUAAGCAUGACUAAUCUUUUGAUAUAAUUUUAAUGGUAUAGAAAGAGUUUGUGUGGUAUAUAGAAAAAAAAAAAAACAUAUCAGCCUAUACAUAAAUUGUCCCACCUUGAGUUGGAUUUGGAUUUUUAUUAGUGGAAGGCAGAUUGGUUUUUUUUUUGGAUUUAUCGAUUCUUAGAUUAUAUACCGAGUUUAGGAAGAAAAAGAAAAAAAAAAAAAAAAGAGAAGAAGUUGGAGAAUGAAAAAUAUUGAUUGGAUUAUGAAUUUUGAUUUAGAUAUUAGAAAUUUUCAAUACAUAGAAUUGUGAUUAAUUUUGCAAGUGUAGAAUGAACUUGUGUGACAUCUAAGUUUGAAAAUUUAGCUUUAUAUAACAAAGAUAAUAAAGUUGAAAGUAUAGUGAUUGGACUAGGAACUUUAUUUGUAGAUUAGAAAAUUGCUAAGAUUUAGAAAUGUAGUUAAGAUAUAAAUACAUAUAUUUUUGAAGAUAAAUGUGAAUUCAAAAAUUAGUUAUCGAAGUUGAACUUAUAGGAAUGAAUUUUAUAAGUAGUAUAGAGACAUAUGAUAGUUAAGUUUUGAUUACACUAUAUGAUGUUUGAAAGACUUAUAUCUAAUGCUAAGAAUAAUAAAUAUAUAGUACUAUAGUUGCUAAUUUUUGAUGUCAAGAAAGGUAAUGACAAUAUGAUUUUAGUGUUUAGAUGAAUGAAUCACUAUUAUUAUUAUUUUUGGUAAGGAGAUUAUGUACAUAUGCAUUUAAUUAUACAUACGAUAGGCGAAGGAAAGACCCCCAUUUCAUAGCGCCUGGGGAACGCUAGUUUGAUCGAGGAUUGGAGAGGAGAGGUGGAAGAAAAGGCUCGGGAUGGAUUUAUUUGAAGUAACUAAAUUUCUCUAACUAUAAGAUAGUUGUCAUAAAUUUCUUUCAUUACAAAUUUCGAGGACGAAAUUUUUUUUAAGAGGGGUAGUAAUGUAACACCCCAAAUUUUAUAAACUAGUAUUUUCCUUAUAUUAUUAAUUUUAGUAUUUUUUUAAAUUAAUUUGAUCAUUUAGUUAUAUUUUAAUAAUAAUUUGUGAAAAUAAUAUAUUCAAUGAGUAUACAAUAUCAUGUUAGUUUCUCUAAAGUGUGAGAAUGUUUAAGUAAUUAUUUUCUUAGAAAUGAACUUUAGAUAAAGGAAACCUAUAAAUCUAAUAUAUUAAUUUAGUGUAAGCUAUGGUUGAAAUUUUAGAACUGGCAGUGUAAAAGUAUACACUGUUAAAAAUAAAUAGUUUAUAAAAAUAUGUCAUUGUGAUAUCCUAAUAUUUCAGAAUUAUUUUAUGUGUGCUUUGAUAGUAUUUUACUUUAUGUAGAUUGAUAAUUUAUCGAUAUAAUCUCUAGACUGUGAAUUUAAGGAAAGUAACUUAGAUAUCAAUUAUAAAAUAUUUUAGUAAGCUAUGAUAAAAGUUUGGGCUUAAAAUUCUACCGAAUUUCGGACAGUAAUUUACUCAAUAGUAUAAAUUUAUAUCUCAGAAAAAUAAAAGAAAAAUAUUUUUGAGAUCACAAAAAUAUCUAGGUAAAAAUGUUAUUAAAAUUAAAUGAAAAAUUUAAAUAAAAAUUAAGAGAUAGGGAUGAACUCUUAAGAGAUAGGAGUUACACCUCAUGUAUUAACGUGGCUUAAUCUUUCUUCACAAGUGGAAAUGAAAACGUGGGCUUAAGUAGAAGAGAAAACGUGGUCUCCUAAUUGUCCAUAAUCAUCAUUGAAACUCCCCUAUAAAUAGAACCUUAAUCUUUAUCAAUCCCACACAAACCAUCACUGUCACACGAAGCUAGGAAUUUCAAGGUGUCCUAGAUGAAGGUGAUUGCUCGAGUUAUUUUGGAAAGCUUCGAGUUAGUGCAGGAUACUAAGACCUCCAGUUGAAGUUCAUUGAGGAAAGGAAAAUGGCAUUGUGAGAGACAUUAAAAUAAAGAACGUUAGUGCUGAUUGGUGGUCUAGUUUUAUUUUUGGAGUCCGAAGAGAAGAUCUCUUUGAUAUGUAUUGAUGAUGUCAUUGGACUGAAUGACAGGCAUCUGUGGUGUUUGACCAGCUCGUGAUUAUUUGUGGGUUAGAGUCUUUUGUAGGAAUUUAUCUUUUUAUCAUUUUAAAUUGAAAAAUUGUACGAUACUUAUGUGAAUUGGAAAUGUUUUAUAUUUGAAAA